rnacentral:miRNA from 1 species
UGACCUAUGGAUUGACAGCCAG